rnacentral:rRNA from 1 species
UACCAGCACCCCGAGUGGUCGGGACGUUUUAUUGGGCCUAAAGCAUCCGUAGCCGGUUCUACAAGUCUUCCGUUAAAUCCAACUGCUUAACAGGUGGGCUGCGGAAGAUACUAUAGAGCUAGGAGGCGGGAGAGGCAAGCGGUACUCGAUGGGUAGGGGUAAAAUCCGUUGAUCCAUUGAAGACCACCAGUGGCGAAGGCGGCUCACUGGUCCGGUACUGACGCUGAGACGACGAACGUGGGGAGCAACAGG